UACGGAGGGUGCGAGCGUUGUUCGGAAUUACUGGGCAUAAAGGGUGCGUAGGCGGCUUGUUAGGUCAGGGGUGAAAGUUUUCGGCCCAACCGGAAAAUUGCCUUUGAUACUGGCGAGCUUGAGUGCGUGAGGGGUAACCGGAACGAGUGGUGUAGCGGUGAAAUGCGUAGAUAUCUGGAGGAACACCGGUGGCGAAGGCGGCAUCCUGGACCGACACUGACACUGAGGAGCGAAAGCCAGGGGAGCAAACGGG
rnacentral:rRNA from 1 species